rnacentral:rRNA from 1 species
GUGAACCAGCGGAGGGAUCAUUACAGAGUUGCAAAACUCCCUAAACCAUUGUGAACGUUACCUAUACCGUUGCUUCGGCGGGCGGCCCCGGGGUUUACCCCCCGGGCGCCCCUGGGCCCCACCGCGGGCGCCCGCCGGAGGUCACCAAACUCUUGAUAAUUUAUGGCCUCUCUGAGUCUUCUGUACUGAAUAAGUCAAAACUUUCAACAACGGAUCUCUUGGUUCUGGCAUCGAUGAAGAACGCAGCGAAAUGCGAUAAGUAAUGUGAAUUGCAGAAUUCAGUGAAUCAUCGAAUCUUUGAACGCACAUUGCGCCCGCCAGCAUUCUGGCGGGCAUGCCUGUUCGAGCGUCAUUUCAACCAUCAAGCCCCCGGGCUUGUGUUGGGGACCUGCGGCUGCCGCAGGCCCUGAAAAGCAGUGGCGGGCUCGCUGUCGCACCGAGCGUAGUAGCAUACAUCUCGCUCUGGUCGCGCCGCGGGUUCCGGCCGUUAAACCACCUUUUAACCCAAGGUUGACCUCGGAUCAGGUAGGAAGACCCGCUGAACUUAAGCAUAUCAAUAAG